CACGACGGCAGCCUGUUGGCAGACACUCGAAUCUAUCAACAACAACGACGACAACAACAUCAACAAUUUAUAAUCCACCACUCAAUAAUAAUCAUGGACACGGGCGGCGCGGCAUCCAAAUACGAGCAGCAAGGGAAGAGAAAAAUUCGCCGUCCUACCUGAACGGCGUCUCUGCGGGGGCUUCAUCUUGCAGGAUGCCCACGCUCGCUCGCUGGCUUGUUGGCUGGCUCGCGCGCGCGCACGCACGCACGCACGCAGCCUAUGAGGAUGCAGCAAUGCAAAAAGUCCAUUCGUGCAGCUCGCUUUCCUUCCGUGUUCCGGAGGGAGAAGGGCUGCAGGCUGUCCUCGAGAUGCCUGCCUGCGGCGUGAAGGCGGCCGAGAGAAGGUGAACGAGCGGCCGAACCUGUUAUGUGCAUGUCCCCACGUGAGCGUGGAGAAACGGGGGAGCUUUUACACGACUGCAGCCUGCUCUGCUGGCGAUUCAAA